rnacentral:rRNA from 1 species
UAGCAAAAGGCGGAUUUCCCCCCUCUUUUAUCCGAUGUUCCAGAUGUUAUUAUCUAGUAUUUGGAGUAAUGGCCCACCUAGGAGACGAUCCCUAGCUAGUCUGAGAGGAUGACCAGCCACACUGGAACUGAGACUCGGUUCAGACUCGUACGGGAGGCAGCAGUGGGGAAUAUUGCACAAUUUGCGCAAGCCUGAUGCAGCCAUGCCGCUUGUGUGAAGAAGGCCUUCGGGUUAUAAAGCACUUUCAGCGGGGAGGAAGGCGGUACGGUUAAUAACCGUACUGACUGACGUUACCCCCAGAAGAAGCACCGGCUAAAUCCGUGCCAGCAGCCGCGGUAAUACGGAGGGUGCAAGCGUUAAUCGGAAUUACUGGGCGUAAAGCGCACGCAGGCGGUCUGUCAAGUCGGAUGUGAAAUCCCCGGGCUCAACCUGGGAACUGCAUUCGAAACUGGCAGGCUGGAGUCUCGUAGAGGGAGGUAGAAUUCCAGGUGUAGCGGUGAAAUGCGUAGAGAUCUGGAGGAAUACCGGUGGCGAAGGCGGCCUCCUGGACGAAGACUGACGCUCAGGUGCGAAAGCGUGGGGUGCAAACAGGAUUAGAUACCCUGGUAGUUCACGCCGUAACCUUAUUCGAUUUGGAGGUUGUACCCUUGAGGCGUGGCUUCCGGAGCUAACGCAUUAAAUCAACUCGUCCCCGGGUUUAUGCGCCA